GUUACUGUAGUUUAAACAAAACAUUGAAUUGUGGUUUCAAAAAUGCUAUACAGCCAGUGACC
rnacentral:tRNA from 1 species